UCUACAUGAGGAGGAUGUAUGUAGUCUGGCCUGCUCACUGAGUCUAGAACUUGAAGAGCCGCGGUAUUUUGACCGUGCAAAGGUAGCAUAAUCAUUAGCUUUUUAAUUGAAAGCUCGUAUGAAUGGUUGAACAAAAGAAAUACUGUCUCUUUUUUAUUUUUUGAAUUUAACUUUUAAGUGAAAAGGCUUAAAUUUUUCAAGGGGACGAUAAGACCCUAUAAAGCUUUAUAAAUAAAUAGUGAUUUUAUGAAUUAAGAAUAAAAAAAAUAUCUAUUUAUUUAUUAUGUUGGGGCGACACAGAUAUAAAUUAAAGCAACUAUCAGAGAAAAAAACAUAUUAUAAGUGAACAAGAUGGUCCUUAGUAAAGAUUAAAAGACAAAGUUACUUUAGGGAUAACAGCGUUAUUCUUUUUGAGAGUUCAUAUCGAAAAAAGAGUUUGCGACCUCGAUGUUGAAUCAUAAAAUCUUUAUAGUGCAGCAGCUGUAAGAGAAGGUCUGUUCGACCUUUAAAUUUUUACG
rnacentral:rRNA from 1 species